rnacentral:rRNA from 1 species
UUACGGGAGGCAGCAGUGAGGAAUCUUCCGCAAUGGGCGAAAGCCUGACGGAGCGACACCGCGUGGAGGACGAAGGCCUUUUGGUUGUAAACUCCUUUUCUGGGGGAAUAAAUGAUGAAGGUACCCCAGGAAUAAGCACCGGCUAACUACGUGCCAGCAGCCGCGGUAAUACGUAGGGUGCAAGCGUUAUCCGGAAUCAUUGGGCGUAAAGAGUUCGUAGGUGGCAUAUCAAGUUUGUAGUUAAAUACGGUCGCUCAACGAUCGAACCGCUACAAAAACUAGUGUGCUGGAGAGUGGCAGAGGUAACUGGAAUUCCACAUGUAGGGGUAAAAUCCGUUGAUAUGUGGAGGAACACCAAAAGCGAAGGCAGGUUACUGGGCCAUUUCUGACACUGAGGAACGAAAGCGUGGGGAGCAAACAGGAUUAGAUACCCGGGUAGUCC